AUCACUGCCCAGCACUGACCACCACUGCCCAGCACUGACCGCUGCCCGUCCCCGUGUCCGCAGGGAGGUCAGCGCGGCCCCGCACGGGGCGGGGUCGGGGCGUGGCCGAGCUCUGGCCCAAUCGGUGCUGAGCGCGCUGGCGGGGGCGGGGCUGAGCCGGGCCUGGAGCCGCCCCCAGCCCCUCCCCCUCCCGGUGAGGGGUGAGGUCACUCUGCGCUGGGUGGGGCCGGAGGGGGAGGAGCUCGAGCGGCUCCCGCUGGACCCCGAAGCUUUCUGUGCCUGGAGCGCGUCCGGCAACGCCACGGGGGGGCUGCUCUACGGCCACUACGGCCGCCCCCAGGACCUGUCCGAGCUCCGGGCGCGGGGGGUCUCGGCCCGCGGUCACGUGAUGCUGCUGCGGCUGGGGCGGGGCAGCCCCGCCCAGAAGGUGAGACCCCAAAUUUGGGGAAGGAGACCCCAAAUCCAAAUUUAGGGGGAUGGAGGGGA
rnacentral:lncRNA from 12 species